GGUUGUAAAAAUUUGACUGUAGGUUUAUUAGGCGUUGUUUACAAGAGUUGUGUAUAGUUACAAAAAUUUGUAUAUACUGUAGAAAUCGAGUAAACCGAGGAGAAGGUUGAAUCCACAAGAGAUUUGUGUACUGCGAGAUUGGCUGAAGCUUACUAUAGAAGCAGAGAAAUGUGUUGUUGGAGAUAUUGUAUUUAUAAGGGGUGGCGAUCCUAUACCCGCAGACAUACGCAUUAUUGAGAGUCAAGAUUUCACGGUAAUAUUUUCAUGUCACAUUUUUACUAGAUAGUAACAACAUGUGAACGAAACUUUAUCUUCUGAUAAGGAUUUUGUGCUCUGAGCUAUUUGGCUAAUUCCAUGGAGUGUAGAGAAGGCAACCAGAACGAACAAAUGAAAUAAAAUUACUUCGUUUACAACUCGGACUAACCAUUGUAACCCGUCGUCGGUUAGACAUGUCAUUGCCUACACCUCCACCACGCCCCCCUCCCCGUAAGGAUUGUGCUUUCUACAGGCCUGGAAACCUUUCCCAACUACCAUAUUCAUUUUGGUUAAUGGGUUGAUGUCUCAUCACUAACUGGAGAGUUCGAACCGCAAGAGAGAACUACCGAGUGCACAUCAGAAAAUCCUUUGGACACCAAGAAUCUCGUCUUCUUUACUACAUAUGCUGUAGAGGGAACAGCUACUGGUAUUGUUUUUGAAACUGGCGAUAGCACAGUUGGUGGACGUAUUGCAAAUCUAGCAACCACACUUUAAAGGCACUUUUUAAGUCAACGACAACGUCUGGUCAUCUAGCACAGCAUAUCUUUUGUCCUGUCUAACCUCUAUAGACUUGAUUAAACGGCGUAUAUCAAGGAACUUAUUCAAAUAUUUUUCAUCUUCCCUGACACUAACUGCACGAUCUUAUCGCACUAUGAAACUGCACGUUGACAUGCAAUGUCAUCGAAUGUGGAACAAGAUAUCCUAACUCGAAUGGAUGGAAAACGUUAAGGUCUCAGAAGAGAGAAGUUAAUAGUGUUCUUCAAAUGACUAACAACAAUUUCUAAAUAACGAUUUUAAUUUAAAAAAUACAUGUAUACUUUUUCAAAAAACUUGUUUUUUCGCUCAAACAUCUUAUAAAUGUC